rnacentral:ncRNA from 3 species
GCUGAACUUAAGCAUAUCAAUAAGC